CGUGGGUAACCCGCCCAAGAGAUCGGGAUAACACCUGGAAACAGAUGCUAAUACCGGAUAACAACAGAUGAUGCCUAUCAACUGUUUAAAAGAUGGUUCUGCUAUCACUCUUGGAUGGACCUGCGGUGCAUUAGCUAGUUGGUAGGGUAACGGCCUACCAAGGCGAUGAUGCAUAGCCGAGUUGAGAGACUGAUCGGCCACAUUGGGACUGAGACACGGCCCAAACUCCUACGGGAGGCAGCAGGC
rnacentral:rRNA from 1 species